UACGUAGGCAGCGAGCGUUGUUCGGAUUCAUUGGGCGUAAAGGGUGCGUAGGUGGCGCCGUAAGUGGGGUGUGAAAUUUCGGAGCUUAACUCCGAAACUGCAUUCCAUACUGCGGUGCUUGAGGACUGGAGAGGAGACUGGAAUUUACGGUGUAGCAGUGAAAUGCGUAGAGAUCGUAAGGAAGACCAGUGGCGAAGGCGGGUCUCUGGACAGUUCCUGACACUGAGGCACGAAGGCCAGGGGAGCAAACGGG
rnacentral:rRNA from 1 species